GUGAACGGAAGACUUUUUUGAAAACGCAUACGGUGCAUAAACGCAAACGUUCCCGUGUAAAUGUGGCCUAAGCGAGCCAACAAGUUGGAUGAAGAAGGUGUUGAAAUUGCUGUGUGUAGGCAUGGAUUUCUUCUCAAAGGUUGGUAGUUGUCUUGAUCAUUUUCAAUUAAAAUAUUUGUAGAAGAUCUGAAGCCUUACCUUGAAUCUGCUUUGUACUCACUUUUUUUUUUAAAGCUUUAAAUAUGUAUAGAGGAGAAAUCUUUGCCUAUCCAUUUUUGGCAAUGGACGUGACGUGUCGGUAUGUACCAUAUCUUGACAAAGUGUCAGAAGCCUUGCCUCAUCUUCAGCCCCUAAAGGAAAAGAGACAUUGCUUGUCUGUGAUGCAUGCCAAAGCCCACAAUACCAAAUGCGAGUUUGUUUUACUGUAAACUUGGAGGAAGCCAGCAGCGCAGGCUGCGCAGAGUGCAGACUGCUGCUGCCUGCUGCACACCGACUCCGAACUGUGGGUUGAUGAUGUCAAACAGUGGGCCAGAAAAGGAAGUGCAUCAGCCAGUCCUGCAGAUGCUGGUUGUUUGCUGAUCUCAAUAGAAGCACUCUUUGUGAGCAUUUGCCAGAAAAAGCACUACCUUUACCAGUGGCGAGCCGUGAGCUUUAUACCUAGGCAGGCCUCACUGACCUUCAAACAUGCUAUAACAUACAGUAAGAACAUAAACACAAACAGGUUUGUGCAACCUAUUCAAACAAGGGGGGCAUAGAAAAAAAUACAAAAAAUCCCUUCUAAAUUAUUCACAUUUAAACUAAAACCACAUAAUAUACAAUUAUUUUCUUCACAUGCCGUUUAUUUAUUUGUCUCUGUUCCUUGGCAUUAUUUUAAAUCACAUUUUGUAUAGUUCCAGUGUCAUAAUGCAUCAGUAUUGUCUUUCUCCACUAGAGAGAAGCAGAGCGCUGCAGGUGAGUCCGUUUCAUGAUGAAAGUCUCUGCUGUUCAGAGAUCAUGUCUUUAUUAAUGCUUAGAAUUCUGUGUCAGGAUCAGCAGAGAUGCUUCCCUGGGAAGUAUUUCCGAGCUGUUUGUUGUCCAGCUGAACACAUCGCCUUGUGGACCUGAAGGAGUUCCAGUAAAGAACACACUUCCUGUGUGAGGUCUUCCCCAUCAGAGCACUGGCACACACACACAGACUGAAGUGAAUGAGUGAACACGUGUUCUGACAGGAGGGAAACAGGGAGCAGAUGGCCGGUCUGAGGUCUGUCAGCAUGUGGAAGUCUUCAUCCUCACCGUCCAGAUGGUCUUUACUACCAGCUCUGCUAAGACAGCAACCCACAGACAGUAAAAAGAUGUACCGAGCAUUUGUGUUGUAAAGUCCUCCAUUGUCACUCACAAACACCUGCAGACUGAAAACGAAAGAGUCCGAGCUGGCUUCUGACUUCUGACGCCUCCGCAGGCCCCUGGGGGUCUUCCCAAAGCCGCAGACCUGCUCUGGUCCCAGUAGAGCAGGACAAGAAGCACACAUGAUUAUCCACACUGAUAUCCACUCACACACAGACAGGAUUUGAUAGCUCCAAUAUGCAGCUGAUGGUUUGAAAUCACUUUAAUAGUAUUCAGUAUUCAUUUCUUAAUUAACAAACUCACUGCAGCAACACAUAACCCAGUUUAUCAGAGGAGGGUGAGAGUGCCAUGUCUAAUUUAUCACAGCUUCAACCUCAAUCCUCAUCUUAUAGAGUCAGGUCAUGGAGGAAGCAGUUCCAGCAGAGGCUCCCACACUUCCCUUUCCCUGGCUAAUGCUGUGUUCCAUUUCCUUUGGCAGUCGGAGGUCAGAACUGGGAGUGACGUCACAUCCGAGUUGACUGGGUCCCUGUAGCACAAGUCGGAAGAAGAGGGAUGACCACAGGAAAAUUGUUUCCCGUGUUUACAGCUUUAGCAGUCCCGGGGACUCCAUCUUAAAUGAUGAUCUCGGGUAUGGGGAUCUCCGAGUGUCCAAGUAGGGAGUCCCACCUCAGGGGGCGUUCCAGUUGACAUUUCAGACCGGGAACUCAGAUACUCCCACUUCCCAGUACAUCUGGAACACCUUACUGUAAAUCACCCAGCUCUGACUGGGGAGCAUGGAGGUAUAAUCCCUCCACCUGGUCUUGGGUCAGUCCCUCGGUCUCCCCCCAGCUGGACGUGCCUGGAGCCUGGCCCCAGGGAGGCGGUCAUGACCCCCCCUUUAUGACCAUAGGUGACAGGAGGAACGAAGAUGGAUUGUGAAUAGAGAGCUUUGUCUUCUGACUCCGCUCUCUCUUCGUCACCACGGUGCGAUAAAUGCUACAUGGUCCACUCACUCGAGAACAAGAUCCCGAGAUACUUUGAACCCCUUAACCUCCACAGACUUGUUAAAUCUGUCACUUUUGAGUUUUCUAAUUCUCAAGGUGCCAAAUGUCACACAAGCAGUCAUUUUGUAUGUGACGUCCGGUAAAUUGUAGGCCCCGGUGGGAGGUAUGGACCAGGGGCCUCGCCUGGACCUGAAAACAUUCGGGGCUUCCACAGUGGCGGCGGCACUACAGUGGCAUUUUUUACUG